GACGAACGCUGGCGGCGUGCCUAAUACAUGCAAGUCGAACGCAGUGGGGACGGGUGAGUAACACGUGGGUAACCUCCCAUCAGAGGGGAUAACACUUGGAAACAGGUGCUAAACCGAAAUUGAUGGAUGGAGCAGGGGUGGAUUAGCUAGUUGGUGCGGUAACGGCUCACCAAGGCCACGAUGCAUAGCCGACCUGAGAGGGUGAUCGGCCACACUGGAACUGAGACACGGCCCAGACUCCUACGGGAGGCAGCAGUAGGGAAUCUUCGUCAAUGGGCGAAAGUCUGACCGAGCAACGCCGCGUGAGUGAAGAAGGUUUUCGGAUCGUAAAGCUCUGUUGUUAGAGAAGCGGUAUCUAACCAGAAAGCCACGGCUAACUACGUGCCAGCAGCCGCGGUAAUAC
rnacentral:rRNA from 1 species